AUUGAACGCUGGCGGCAUGCUUUACACAUGCCAGUCGAACGGUAACAGGCCUUCGGGUGCUGACGAGUGGCGAACGGGUGAGUAAUGCAUCGGAACGUACCCAGAGGUGGGGGAUAACGCAGCGAAAGCUGUGCUAAUACCGCAUGUGAUCUGAGGAUGAAAGCGGGGGACCGAGCAGCAAUGUUUGGCCUCGCGCCUUUGGAGCGGCCGAUGUCGGAUUAGCUAGUUGGUGGGGUAAAGGCCUACCAAGGCGACGAUCCGUAGCUGGUCUGAGAGGACGACCAGCCAUACUGGGACUGAGACACGGCCCAGACUCCUACGGGAGGCAGCAGUGGGGAAUUUUGGACAAUGGGCGCAAGCCUGAUCCAGCAAUGCCGCGUGCGGGAAGAAGGCCUUCGGGUUGUAAACCGCUUUUGGCAGGAACGAAACGGUGUCCGCUAAUACCGGGCGCUAAUGACGGUACCUGCAGAAUAAGCACCGGCUAACUACGUG
rnacentral:rRNA from 1 species